GAAGCCGGAGCAGAAGAUUGAGCCAGGGGAAGUGAAGCCGGAGCCGAAGAUUGAGUUGGUGGCAUUGGAGCCAUAGCAGGUGCUUGAGCCAAAAUGCAAGUGAAUUGGAGCAAGAAGAGGAUCAAGACAAGAAAAGGUGACGCUAAGUUGUAAUCCAUUUUUCUUUCUUGAUUUAGCUCAAUUUGAAGUUGUCAGAUGAUGGGGGAGAAGGAGAAUGUGUGCCAGUUAUAUAGUAAGCUGUGGGUUGAUUUCUUGCUCCAAAAUAAUUAAACAAAAAAGAUGUGAUAAGCGGUUUGGGGAAAAAGUUUGUGGGGUACUGUGACGACAGAAAUUGCUAGGUGAAAAGGUGCAAUCUAAGGGUGAGCUGAGAAUAAUAUGUUGUUUACUGUUAAAAGACAGCUACUGGCUUGAUUAUGAAGAGAGAAACAGCUGAGGAAGUGAACUAAUUCCUUUGUAGAUACUAUUAUAUACAUCCGUACAUAGAUUUGUAUGUAUAGCCACUUCAAUCGUGUUCGUCCUUUCUCCAAAUAUCUUUUUUUUCUGGGAACAUGGUAAAUUAGACGAUUUUUCAUUCACCUAUGGAUAAAAUGCUCUAGUUUUCCAUUCUUGUAUGAGUCCGAAAAUUGAAUUGGCCAUUCAGUUAUUUUGUGUGAUUUGAGGUGGGUAAAGUAGUUAGGUAAAAAUAUCUCAAGUUGCCUGUUUUGCUUUAUGCAUUAGUGUCAAGACCCGAACCGAGGCCUGACCGUAACGAGCAUCCCGAACCACGAAGGCUCGGUACGUCCUUCUAUAUCUGGUGAUCAUGCACAUCAUUCAUAUAAUGAAAAGGAAUGCGGAAAUACAAAAUACAACAGAAUCAUGGUCAUAAGUCUAAUGUGAUCAAUAAUGGAAAAUGAACUCCAAAACCAUCUAUCAACAUCUGAAAACCGUUUGUGAAAUCUCUACUACAUGACUAAUGACAACUGUCUGAAAACAGGGACAAGGACCCCAGUAGACCAAAACGGAAAUAAACGACAUAAUCUGGAAAGACGGGCCUUCUGGAAUAGAGAAGGCUCACCAACUUAACACUACAACUCUGUCUAAUAAAUCUACUACCUUUCUGAACCCCUAGACUGAGCCUUAGAACCUGGAGGGAGGAGGGGGGUCAAUACAGAUGUACUGGUACGCAAAUCAAUCCAAAAUAAAGCUUUUAUAUAUAUAAAAUAAUGAGAGAGCAAUUUGUCAAAAUAUCAUGCACGUAAUAGUUCUAAAACACAUGGGCACUUUUCUAAAACUCAUAAAUCAUUCUUGUCAAUGCAAAAAUAUGAUCUUUGUAUUACUUCUGAGUUAGGUGGCACUCCCCUACAAGUCUGAUAUUCCACGGGCUAUAUGAAAUCCGUCGUUGAAUCGGCGGGGAAGCCCCCAACCUAAGUGCCGCAAGGGAUGGAGUGUCUGAGUCUGAUACGCCACAAGGCUCUAGGCUAGCGUAGUAUAAUCAUUUGGCGUGUAGCAUGAGUUAUGUGAACUGAGCACACUAUAAAGCGUGAGUACAUGGAUCAUGAGCUGUAUGACCUUAAUUUGGAGUUCAUAACUUAUGGAAUGUGAUCCUGACUACUGAAUGAACUGGAAUUCCUCAUUUAGGAACUGGAAGAGCACGUGAUUCUCUAUCAUAUACAUGAACAUGAACUAUGAUCAUGGAACUGAAUGUGAGGCAUUAGUGGGUAUUCGGAUAACUGAAAAAUACUAAGAUAAGAAUAAGUUGAGUUUCACCCUCACUUUUUGACGUUCUAUAUCAUACUGCAUCACUACUAAAAUCUGAGAGCCUCACCUGGUUAUUCAUUUUAUGAUCUCCCCCUUAGCUUUAAGCCAUCAUCUUAAGUUUGAGAGAUCCCUUACUAGACUCUAAACUGAACUACACUCACUGCACUUUGGAGUCUGGAAUAUGACAUACAUGAAAUUAAUAGAACUUAACUCGAAUGGCUACACCUAGAAGGGGAAAACCCACUGCUAAUCCUACCCUCUGAGACACACUCUAUCUUUCUAUACCCCCAGUAUUCAAUCAUAUAACACUUGAACACUUACUAACUUUGAAUCCUUAUGAGUAUUCCCAUAGUCGGAGUGCACACCCUAUAGCGGUUCAGUUCUUAUUUCUGUCGGUUAAACCUUUUCAAACUUAGAUUAUGACACUUAACAUGGAUAUCACCAAGCCUUUGAUGAAUCGUACUACUAGUCUUUCUCUACCUAGCAAGUCAACGGUACUACUAUGUCUACUAGACACAUGCAACAUGUAAUAGUCUUAGAAAAUAUUGUGACUCCAUAUCACCUUGGGAAUACUUAUACCUCAUACAUACUACAUCAUACUUCUCUAUGAAUCAAAUAAACUUAAUCUGUUCCAUACAUCGUUCAAGUCUAUUAGAUCACUUCUAUAUAACUAGUGUUCAUUAACCAAGAAAUCUUCACAUCUACCUUCAUGGACAUCAACUGUUCAAACUUAGUACUAGUGCUAUGCAUGAUUUACAACCCAACCUGACACAUGACUCUCACUUGAAAACCAUGAAAUAAACAUCAAGAAACACUAGCACACUAAAACUUCAAAACCACAAUAUUCGAUCAUGACCUUACGGUUUUUCCUUAUCAUAACUCGUUAGCACGCACUAUUUUCUUAUCAUUAACCUACUAAUUUAUUCUCACAAAACAUAAAUCAUUAACCUCAUGCCACUAUUCUUACAUCCAUAUCCUAUAUUAAAUUCAAGCCAAUAGUCUAGCAUCAAUUAUCUACCACCAAUGAAGAAGGAAACAUUAUAUACUAGCCCAUCAAAUUGGGACAUUCUAACCAAAUACCUCAAAAAUCUACUAAUACCUUCUCACAAGUAGUACUAGUUUACAACUACCAACAAAAANNNNNNNNNNNNNNNNNNNNNNNGGGGGGGGUAAAGUCACAUAAUAGACAUGGUCAACCUUAAUCUUAUAUUAUAACCCCAUACAAUCCUAUAUACUUAUAUGACUCUCUCACAUCACACUUACUUACCCCAGCGGGCAUUUAGACUACCUUCAAAUUCCACAUUCGACAAUGAGUCCAUACUUACAACUUACUGGCUAAUCUAGCCAUUUUCAUACUUUAAGCAAACAACAAUUCACCUUGACUAAUAACUCCUUCUUUACCUUCUACUAAACUAACACAUAAGGACGCACACUUCAUUACCAACUCAAUCUCAUGUGAAAAGAUUUGACUAUACAAAUAUACAACCAACAUAAGAACAAGUUGCUAGUGAAUCGAAAUAGGCCUCACACGGCUUCACUAGACUUUGAUUUUUGUAUUUUGAACAAGAAAAUGAAAUGAAUAACAAGGAAACUAUGCUAGUGAAUCGAAAGAGACCCACACGGUUUUACUAGACUUUGAUUUUUCAAAAAUACCAUGAUAACAAGAUUACAUAUUACAAGAGAUAGACAAUUGACACACAAUUUGCAAUGAUCUAAGAAUAUAUAUCUUACUCUGUAUAAAUAAAAUCUGAGUCAAACACUUCCCCCACAGACUACCAUACCAUCCACACAUGCCACUAGGUACCACAUUAAUCUAUCACUAUAAAGGGGUAAAUCAUCCUCAAAAAUCGGUUAUUCAACUAUAACUAUUUAGUUACAUAAAAGUCAUCCUCACUGUGACCUCUGAACUUGUGGCUUCAUUUCACCAACUUCUUGGUCUAAUCUCACUACUAAUAGCUCAUGACACUGACACUUUAACUUAUGCUACUAUUCGGGUGGAAAUAAAGUUCCAACAAUUCUGCUACACAUCAUUCCCCUUUUAGGCAUGACUUCUGCAACAUAAAUCUGAAAAGGACGGAAUACACUUAAUACUGCAGGCUAAAAAAUACGAUUUCAUUAAAAUCAAGGUUCACACUAGAACCAACACACUCUGAAGCACUAAUGAACACUUCUCAAGUCCUUGCAGAAACCUAAUAUGAUUCAAUCAGAAAGGACCAAACCAUUUAGACUCUAAGCUUCUGUACUUGAAUCAACCCAAUAAUGAGACAUAUCUGAGAACAUCAGAGUAAGGAAAAAAUUGGGAUGAUUGUUACUUUCGUAUAGACGACACCAUCACACUAGUUAGAGUAUGAACGAGGAACAUUCUGACUCCAUAGCACGAACUAGAACAUGAAAAAAGGAAAACAAUCCUAAAUGACUAGUAGCCUCCUAUUUAUAAGUGUGGCGUGCUACACACCCAUAAAUAAGACUCUACCCGAUGCGAUUUUGUAGACACCCUGGUACCAUGAACCGUGCUCUGAUACCAAGUUUGUCACGACCCAAACCGAGGCCCUAGCCGUAAUGAGCAUCCCAAACCACGAAGGCUCGGUACGCCCUUCUGUAUCUGGUGAUCAUGCACAUCAUUAAUAUAAUGAAAAGGAAUAUGAAAAUACAAAAUACAAUGGAAUCAUGGUCAUAAGUCUAAUAUGAUCAAUAAUGGAAAAUGAAAUCCAAAACCAUCUAUUAAUAUCUAAAAACCGUCUACCAAAAUCUCUACUACAUGACUAAUGAAAACUGUCUGAAAACUGAGACUAGGCCCCCCAGUAGACCAAAAUAGAAAUAAACGACAUAAUCCGGAAAGAUGGGCCUUCUGGAAUAGAGAAGGCUCACCAACUUAACAUUAUAACUCUAUCUGAUAAAUCUACUGUCUUUCUGAACCCCUAGACUGAGCUUAAGAACCUGGUGGGAGGAGGGGGUUCAAUACAGAUGUACUGGUACAUAAAUCAAUCCAAAAUAAAGCUUUAUAUAUAUAAAAUAAUGAGAGAUCAAUUUGUCAAAAUAUCAUGCACGUAAUAGUUCUAAAACACAUGGGCACUUUUCUAAAACUCAUAAAUCAUUCUUGUCAAUGCAAAAAUCUGAUCUUUGUAUUACUUCUGAGUUAGGUGGCACUCCCCUACAAGUUUGAUAUUCCAUGGGCUAUAUGGAAUCCGCCAUUGACUCGGCGGGGAAGCCCCCAACCCAAGUAUGCCGCAAGGGUUGGAGUGUUUGAGUCUGAUACGCCACAAGGCUCUAGGCUAGCGUAGUAUAAUAACCCAGAUCGGUAAAUCAUGGUUUUGAGCAACAGGUUUUCUGAACCCAUGCCUUCUUCGGGGAACCACGUAAACUCUUUUUAUGCCCAUUUUUAUCCUAUUCUGAAUCAUGCAUUUUUCUAAUUUCAAUAUCUGAAUAGUCUGAUUUCAAACAUACAUUCUAUUCUGUUUUAAAUUAUCAUGGCAUAAUCUGAAUUGAUGUCGUUACACCAAGACUUGCAAGUCCUAUUUCUGAGCCAUAAUGCAUCAUGCAUGAUUCUUUCAUUAAAACACAGUCCAGACCACCCAAACAUACAAAUAGUAUAAGAGUUUUCAUGUUCCGAAAGCAUAAGUCAAAACUAUGCAAGAACUCUUCAAAUAUAAGGUGGUCAUGUGCUUUUGACAAAAUUCAUGCACUCUUUCAUUAUAUGCAUUCUCAACAUUUUUCAAUAUAAAUAACCCUCUCUUUGGAAUUCAAGAUUCAUAAAUCAAGACACUUCGUAACAUGUUUUUCAAGAUGCAUUUCAAAACAAUCCAUAUUAUAUAAUAAGUAAGGAAAAUCAUAACAAGAGAGGGAUUUUCACAUGAAUCAUGCUCUCAAUUCAAUCAUCAAUAUUAAAACAUGUAAAUAUAUACAUAUAUCAAUUCGAAUAAAUUUGGGGAAGGCCUAAAGACCAAAACAAUACCGUCAAAACUUUUAAAAACAUAAUUAUAUUCAUAAAUUCAAAAUCCCAUUCUUAAAAUCAUGAUUUCUAUGCCCAUGAGAUUUGAGGAAAACCCCGCGUACCUCGAUUACGGAGAAUAAUGGAUGAUUCUUGAAGCCUACGGUUUAGGGAUUCCAAAUCUUCAAUCAAUCUUUAAAACCCACGAUUGAAUCUUGAGGGAUCUUGAUACUUUGGUUGAGACCUUAAGGGUUAUUUCUUGAGGGAAAUUGGAGAAAAGAGUGUAUUUUUGGUGAAUUAGGGGCUGAAUUUCGGUGUUUUUGACGAUUGGGGUCGAAGGGAAAGGACCAAAAUGCCCCUUGACCCUUAAGAAGCUAAAACUGUGCGGGAAUAGGCCCCGCGUCAUGACCCCUAAUUGGGUUAAUUAGCCCUCGCGACGCGACCCCCAUUCAGGUCAAGCAAAACUCGCGUCGUGGGGCUAUCACGACCCCUCACUGCCUCUGAUGGCAUAACUUUUCACUCAGUUAUCGGAAUUUGAUGAAAUUGGUAUCGUUGGAAAGAUGAUUCGAAGAGAUUUCAUUUUAUAUAUAUUAGGCUCUCUAAUUCAUUAUAUAAAAAGAGUUAUGAUCGAUUGAAGUUGACCAAAGUUUCGACGCUCACUCAAACUCGAACGAUAGGAAAGUUUUCAACUCAUCCUUGAGUUUGGGGACCUCUAUCAUCUCAAUUCAUGCUCAAAUCGGUUCCCACACUACAUAAUUGAUUAACAUGCCAAAUUGGCAUAGGAUUUAUGGCUUUUGGAUCAUCUACGCAUAGAAAUGACAGUUUUCGUUCUAGCUCGAAAUGCAGGGUGUUACAGUUAGAGGCCUACUCACUCUAAUAUUCGUAUUGUGAGGAUGAAAGAAUUGGUUUCUUCCAAGAGUAUCUCCAUUUUCAAAGCUCGAACUUGAGAUCUCUAGUUAAAGAUGUAAGGAUAUCAUCCAUCCCACCAGACUCGAUGGUGAUAUAUUUCAAGUUGCAUAUAUGCAAUCACAAAAUAAGUAUAGGAAAUGAUUACUAAUGGAUUUGUGGGACAAGAGGCUAAUUUAGUUGUAACUGCACUAGUCACUAUCGAGAAUAUCUUGGUACAGCUGACGAUAAUGUAAUGUAAGAUAACGAGUGAUAAUCCAUAUAUUUCUUGUGUUGUCUUCUAUCUUUUUGCAGUGAAUGCAUGACAGGAUAUCACAAUCAUUUUUAGAGAUGAGCUAAAACUUUCAGGAGGAUUGAUAAUGAUUAAUGGUGCUGAGAAAUUUGUUUCAAUCAUCCUGGAAUGGUAAGGUAAUUUUCGGACGCUUUUCUGCUUGUACUUUUCUCCUCUUCCUCUCUGAGCAGUACUUUCACAUUUAAUUUUCAGUUUAUUGCAUCAGACUCAUAAAACUAACUUUUGUAACAUAAAAGUUUAUUUUAAUUAUGCCUAUAUAUCACUGGCAAACGUGAGUCCUAUGAAUACCCAUCUAUACUUUCUGUGCAAUUCUCCUUAGAUGAAUUUGGUUGGAAAACUAUUUUACAUUUGACAGUGCAGAAGUGGUGAAAUUUUUUGAUGGGAGAGCGAACUUUUUAUGCGUAUCUAUUAGAUUGUUUCACCUCUAGUUCAAGAUAACAAUACUUGCAAACAAAGUUUAUUUGCUUUUUUUUUUUUUUUAACAUGGGAAAAGACCACAAAUUACUUUAUAGCAAUGUGACUUGAAUCGACAAAGUGGAGUUUUCCAAACGAUCAAACCCUCUUUAUGUCUGUGACCUUCAUUUGCCAGAAAGUCGGCACAUUUCUUCUCCUUAGAUCAGAUGUAUAUAACGGUAGCUUUUGUGGUUUCCAACGAAUUUUAACGGUCUUCAAUAAUAACCCUAAAGGGUGAUGCUCUGUGUACUCUUUGAUAAGCUUGACAACAAAUAGACAGUUUGUUUCCAUUUUCCACCUCUAAUUCUUUAUACCCUAUUUCUCUUGCUACUGUUGGCCCUUGUUUGAUGUUCCAUGACUUUAUGUGGGGCUUGAAUUUGGCUUCGUAUUACCUGCAUAACUCAAUAUCUACUUUGUUUGUCUCUGGAAAUCCUUCCAAAUGCAGCAUCUCUUGUUUGACUCUUGACAUUGGUGUUAGUGGCAUUCUGUAGAUACGGCAAUGUUUGUAUUAGGAAGUUGUCUAAUUUUAUAAUCAGGUGGCAUGGUGCUAUGUACUCCUUUCGUUAAAGCCACUUCCUGUGCAUUUGCCUAGACACCAUCAUCGCAAAUUUAGCUAAAUAAUAUUGGGAAAACAAAAUAAUAAAAGAAAACUUAUGCAGAAGAAUAGAGCUGAUAUACCCAUAUCUUAUAGUAAUUUUGAAGUGGGUAUUCUAAUUCUUUAUAAAGAUAACACAAUAUGUGUCGUAUUUUGGUUUUGAUGAUUUACAAACAAGAAUGCAAGGGACCUGGUCCUUGCUGUGCUGAUUUAACAAUCAAAGGAAGCUUUGUACGGCUGUAAACUGUACUGUCUGUUUUGGCUAGUGGUGAUGCAGCUGGCGCGCUAACACCUGGACCAAUAGAGUGGCGCUAAGGUCUUACUCUCUCUUAUAAAAGGAAGAUGUGGCAUCAGCAAAACUUAGCUUUUGCAAUCAAAAGUUUACUCUCUGAAGCAAAAGCCUUUUUCAUCAGAUUACUGCUCACUUUCAACAAGGGACCUGAUAGAACAGCAGUUCAGAUUUUGUUGAUUUCUUGAGUUGUAGUCUUUUGUGCUUACCAUUGUAAACCUACUCCUAUGUUAUAAAGGAUUGUAGGUAUCAGUCUUGUCUAGGUCUUAGAUUGAGUCGUGUUAACUAGAGCUAGUUAUCGAUUCAGCUUUGGUUUAGUCAAGAUUUCUUCAUCAUGCCUUAUGUUAUUCUGGGUAGAGUUACCUAGGGAAUCAACUAGAGUUGGUUGAUUUGAAGGGUGCAAUAGGGUUGCUGCACAAAUCUUACUGGAAAUCCUGUGAGAUAGAUUGUGUUUUUCCCUCCCUUGUGCAAGGAGCUUUUCACG
rnacentral:lncRNA from 1 species